CACUUGUUCUUCAUCAUUUCGUUAUCAUCUCACUCACGCGUGAAUAGUGCUUCUCCAUUUUCUUUCUCAAAUCUCUUCAUCUUUCACUCAUUUUCUUGUUAAAAUCAAUCACUCAAAAUCAUUAUUCAUCCAUUACUCCUUCAAUUUUCACUCUCAAAACAACAUUUUAUCAACUCUCCACAUAAAACCCAAAAUCAAAUCUCACUCUACCCGUUUCUCUCUCUUCAUUUUCAAGCUUCCUUUAGCCCAUUUUUAAUUC
rnacentral:lncRNA from 1 species